rfam:Triticum aestivum genome assembly, contig: Triticum_aestivum_CS42_TGACv1_scaffold_136505_2BL
UUUCUACUCCCUCCGUCCGAAAAUACUUGUCAUCAAAAUGGAUAAAAGAGAUGUAUCUAAAACAAAAAUAUGUAUUCUCAAAAAAAAAACUAAAAUACGUCUAGAUACAUUUCCUUUUAUCCAUUUUGAUGACAAGUAUUUCCGGCCGGAGGGAGUAUUUG